ACAAAUUUACAGGUUUCUUUUUAUGCUUCUCCUUAAAGAGUUAUGUCUGUAAUAAAUGACCCACCAAAGAUUACAAAUUAAAUAAUAUAGAACUUAAACAGUUUAACAGCAUGAAAUGGUCAGAACACUCGGGGUUUGAGAGAAGUGAAUUCAUCUGUAGCUAAUGGGGGUCCCCGGACACCCCCUGCCCCCCAGGCUUCCCUAAACAUCCCAUGCACGCACUGUUGACUAAUGCUUAAAGGGAAAACAGCUUUUGGCAUGGGGUGAGCUGCAACUCUACCCACCAAGGAGAGAAACUUGUGGUUUGGGCAUCAUUUGAUGGAGGUGAAUAUAAACGGGGCUUUGCAGGAAAGAUGACCCCUUUUCAUUUUUGAGAAGUCAGGUCAAAGUUAUGUGGGAGCUCCCUGGUGGUUCCAUGGGUUACAGAUUCCACGUUGCCACUGCUGUGGCAUGGGUCAUGGCCAUGGUGAGAGUUCGCUACCUGGCCCGGGAACUUCCGCACGCCACAGGUGUGGCCAAAAAAAAAAGUUAUUUUAAUAAGAGGAAUACAAACUCCUUUGGUAGAUGAGGUGUGGCAGAGGUGGAGCGGGGUGAAGUGGCAGGAGGGUUCUUCCCAAGCAAGUGAAAUCCCGAAGAUGAGGAAGUGUGUUCAGUUUUAGUUGGGCCCAAGAGAAAGCCAAGCACAGCCCAAGAGGAAGCUUCCUCCCACAGCUCUCACUGUCCCUCCAGGCAGCAGACAGGUCACCCCUCGCCCCUCCGCAAAACCACCAGGCUCAGUGAGAACAGGUGGCUGCGAAAUUCCCGAGGCGCUAGUAGGGACUCGGGACUGGAUCAGUAGGGACACAACUGGAAGAGCUUCAAGGGAAGAGCUCACCUCCUUCUUGAAGCUUCCAAACGGGUGGAGUAAUUCAGACCCUUUGCACCUGCAGCCCCCCCUUCCUCUCAGUUUUCUAAGGUUUUAGGCUGCUGACCUAUGUGGAAAGCAGCUGAUGCAGAGUGAUGCAGUUUGAGGACAGGGAGUGAAGAGGUACCUGACCCAGGUGGGGCGUGUACCCACCCAUCUCAUGGUCAAGGUGAUCAGUGCCUGGUUCUUACUUAGAACAGUGAAGAGUAUUUGGGGGAAACGACAGGUUCCGUGUUAAACACACUGAGUUUAAGGAAGCGGAAUCAACCAGAAGUAGGUACCCCGGGGGCCAGAGGAAGGCCCGAGCCGCCAGCCGGAUGGAAGCGACAGAGGUCAUCCCAAGAGCGUGUGCAGAGUGACGAGGGGCCCUGCGAAGAACCCGGUGGACACCAGUACUUCAGGAUGGCCC
rnacentral:lncRNA from 1 species